rnacentral:rRNA from 1 species
AUUGAACGCUGGCGGCAGGCCUAACACAUGCAAGUCGAGCGGUAGCACAGAGAGCUUGCUCUCGGGUGACGAGCGGCGGACGGGUGAGUAAUGUCUGGGAAACUGCCUGAUGGAGGGGGAUAACUACUGGAAACGGUAGCUAAUACCGCAUAAUGUCGCAAGACCAAAGUGGGGGACCUUCGGGCCUCAUGCCAUCAGAUGUGCCCAGAUGGGAUUAGCUAGUAGGUGGGGUAACGGCUCACCUAGGCGACGAUCCCUAGCUGGUCUGAGAGGAUGACCAGCCACACUGGAACUGAGACACGGUCCAGACUCCUACGGGAGGCAGCAGUGGGGAAUAUUGCACAAUGGGCGCAAGCCUGAUGCAGCCAUGCCGCGUGUGUGAAGAAGGCCUUCGGGUUGUAAAGCACUUUCAGCGGGGAGGAAGGCGAUAAGGUUAAUAACCUUGUCGAUUGACGUUACCCGCAGAAGAAGCACCGGCUAACUCCGUGCCAGCAGCCGCGGUAAUACGGAGGGUGCAAGCGUUAAUCGGAAUUACUGGGCGUAAAGCGCACGCAGGCGGUCUGUCAAGUCGGAUGUGAAAUCCCCGGGCUCAACCUGGGAACUGCAUUCGAAACUGGCAGGCUAGAGUCUUGUAGAGGGGGGUAGAAUUCCAGGUGUAGCGGUGAAAUGCGUAGAGAUCUGGAGGAAUACCGGUGGCGAAGGCGGCCCCCUGGACAAAGACUGACGCUCAGGUGCGAAAGUGUGGGGAGCAAACAGGAUUAGAUACCCUGGUAGUCCACGCCGUAAACGAUGUCGAUUUGGAGGUUGUGCCCUUGAGGCGUGGCUUCCGGAGCUAACGCGUUAAAUCGACCGCCUGGGGAGUACGGCCGCAAGGUUAAAACUCAAAUGAAUUGACGGGGGCCCGCACAAGCGGUGGAGCAUGUGGUUUAAUUCGAUGCAACGCGAAGAACCUUACCUGGUCUUGACAUCCACAGAACUUUCCAGAGAUGGAUUGGUGCCUUCGGGAACUGUGAGACAGGUGCUGCAUGGCUGUCGUCAGCUCGUGUUGUGAAAUGUUGGGUUAAGUCCCGCAACGAGCGCAACCCUUAUCCUUUGUUGCCAGCGGUUCGGCCGGGAACUCAAAGGAGACUGCCAGUGAUAAACUGGAGGAAGGUGGGGAUGACGUCAAGUCAUCAUGGCCCUUACGACCAGGGCUACACACGUGCUACAAUGGCAUAUACAAAGAGAAGCGACCUCGCGAGAGCAAGCGGACCUCAUAAAGUAUGUCGUAGUCCGGAUUGGAGUCUGCAACUCGACUCCAUGAAGUCGGAAUCGCUAGUAAUCGUAGAUCAGAAUGCUACGGUGAAUACGUUCCCGGGCCUUGUACACGCCGCCCGUCACACCAUGGGAGUGGGUUGCAAAAGAAGUAGGUAGCUUAACCUUCGGGAGGGCGCUUACCACUUUGUGAUUCAUGACUGGGGUGA